rnacentral:lncRNA from 1 species
GCUAUUUUCAAACCUUUCUUCCCGUGAGUUACGUUUAUGUGCUGUAUGAAACUGCAAGGUGCUGGAAGGUGGCUACGUGCUUGGGCUUCAUUUGUUGCACAUCAUUUGUGGAAGGCUGCAGUAAGCACUCAAUACUUUGCUGUUGAUUGAUUUCAGAACAGAUCAAUCAGAUUGCAGAGCUCUGGCAGGUGCCACCAGCUGCCUAAUUCAUCGUUCAUCAAAAAGCCUUCUGAAAGUUGGGUCUCUAACAGGUGGUUUGGGCCACUUUCCUCUCGAUCAAGGGGGCGUUCUUGACGUGUGGGUUUAUUAUUUUCUCCUCACAUUUUAAUGCCACUCAUUUGAUUUGAUGUCUGGGUCCAGUGAGUUGGCACAAGGGAACCACUAAGUCCAGAUACGCCCUGGUGGCACCGGGGCCCUGCUUGGCUCAGACACGCCCUGGCGGCACCCAGGCCCUACUUGGCUCCCCUGGCCGGAGCCAGAAGAGCUCCUCUUUGUCAGGAAGUCUGCAGGUUUCAGACACUAAUUCUCUGCUGGGCAUGCAUCCAGAAGAGGUGUAAGGAGUGACAGACUGAUGGAAAGAGCCAACCAUGCCUCCCGAGGAGCAGAUGCCUCCUCUCUGAGCGGCCGGAGAGACCCGGAUGUGAUGCCAGCGGAGAAGCAGGCGAGAAAAGCAUGGAAGGGUGUGGGGUCAAUCGUCGACGGCAGGAGCCCGGGGGAAUCUUUCCAAGGCGUCUUGGGUCAGAGGUGAGAGCUGCUGAGGACCUAUUUGUUGCCAUCACUGAUCAGCGUAAUUUAAAAAGAAACGGUUGCUUGAGCCUCACGGGAGCAGCCUGAGGUGAAUUGAUUUUAGGAAAAGCGGCACGCCGCCUAUGGCCCAGAUGGAUGAUGGGAAUAAAUUCGUUUCCAGGGCUUGACA